rnacentral:rRNA from 1 species
GAAACCGGGUGACCUAUCCAUGGCCAGGUUGAAGCGAGAGUAAAAUCUCGUGGAGGACCGAACCACGUUGGUGUUGAAAAACCAUGGGAUGAGCUGUGGAUAGCGGAGAAAUUCCAAUCGAACUCGGAGAUAGCUGGUUCUCCUCGAAAUAGCUUUAGGGCUAGCGUCGGAUAUGAGUAAUGGAGGUAGAGCACUGAAUGGGCUAGGGGGCAUAGCGCUUACCGAACCUUAUCAAACUCCGAAUGCCAUAUACUAUUAAGUCCGGCAGUCAGACUGCGAAUGAUAAGAUCCGUGGUCAAAAGGGAAACAGCCCAGAUCGUCAGCUAAGGUCCCAAAGUGUAAGUUAAGUGGAAAAGGAUGUGGGAUUUCUAAGACAACUAGGAUGUUGGCUUAGAAGCAGCCACUCAUUUAAAGAGUGCGUAAUAGCUCACUAGUCGAGAGAUCCUGCGCCGAAAAUGUUCGGGGCUCAAACUUACCACCGAAGCUACGGGCUUAAGUUAAACUUAAGCGGUAGAGGAGCGUCGUAAUCGGGCUGAAGUCGUACCGGAAGGAGCGGUGGACUGAUUACGAGUGAGAAUGUUGGCAUUAGUAGCGAGAUGUGAGUGAGAAUCUCACAGGCCGAAAACCUAAGGUUUCCUCAGGAAGGCUCGUCCGCUGAGGGUUAGUCGGGACCUAAGCCGAGGCCGAAAGGCGUAGGUGAUGGACAAUCGGUUGAUAUUCCGAUACCACUAUUAAUCGUUAAAACCGAAGGCGUAACGCAGGAGGAUAGGAUGUGCUAGCUAUUGGAUGCUAGUCUAAGCACUUAGGGAGUUCAGCAAGGCAAAUCCGGCUGAACAAUUCUGAGGUGUGAUGGGGAAGGAACUACGGUUCCGAAGUAUCUGAUUCCACGCUGCCAAGAAAAGCGUCUAGGGAGAGAGGUAGUGCCCGUACCGCAAACCGACACAGGUAGGUGAGGAGAGAAUCCUAAGGCCGGCGGAAGAAUCACAGUUAAGGAACUCGGCAAAUUGACCCCGUAACUUAGGGAGAAGGGGUGCCUACGCAAGUAGGCCGCAGAGAAUAGGCCCAAGCAACUGUUUAGCAAAAACACAGGUCUCUGCUAAAGCGAAAGCUGAUGUAUAGGGGCUGACGCCUGCCCGGUGCUGGAAGGUUAAGGGGAAUACUUAGCGCAAGCGAAGGUAUGAACUUAAGCCCCAGUAAACGGCGGCCGUAACUAUAACGGUCCUAAGGUAGCGAAAUUCCUUGUCAGGUAAGUUCUGACCCGCACGAAUGGCGUAAUGACUUGGGCACUGUCUCAACUGUGAAUCCGGCGAAGUUGUAGUACGAGUGAAGAUGCUCGUUACCCGCGAUUGGACGGAAAGACCCCGUAGAGCUUUACUGUAGCUUAGCAUUGAAUUUCGGUAUUGUCUGUACAGGAUAGGUGGGAGACUAGGAAGUCAGGGCGUCAGCCUUGAUGGAGUCAUCCUUGGGAUACCACCCUGACAGUACUGAGGUUCUAACUGGAUGCCAUGAAACUGGUGACAGGACAUUGUUAGGUGGGCAGUUUGACUGGGGCGGUCGCCUCCUAAAAAGUAACGGAGGCGCCCAAAGGUUCCCUCAGAACGGUCGGAAAUCGUUCGAAGAGUGCAAAGGCAGAAGGGAGCCUGACUGCGACACCCACAAGUGGAGCAGGGACGAAAGUCGGGCUUAGUGAUCCGGUGGUACCUCGUGGGAGGGCCAUCGCUCAACGGAUAAAAGCUACCUCGGGGAUAACAGGCUGAUCUCCUCCUAAACCUUUAACUUUAAGUGGAAUAAAUUUUGGAGAAAAUAUAACAGGUCCCUUUUUACCUUAUGGUAGUGGGGAAUAAAAGGACAAAUUAUAAAUAGUAAUUUUCCGGGAAAUGGAGUAGUUAUUAAAUAUUCUUUAAAAAAUAAAAAAAGCAAUUUAUUUAGUUGGGGUAUAAAAAAUAUUAAGUCUUGGGAUACUAAUUCAAAAGGUGAAAUUUAUUCUAUAAUAGAGGGAAUGGAUAAUAUAGGAGUAAGAGCUAUAGAAGGAGAUAAUGAUUAUUUAUAUAAAUUAGAAGAAAAUAAAUGGUAUGGGUGGCCUGAUUAUAGUGGUGGAGAACCUAUAACAU